CUAAUCUGCGAUAAGCGCCGGUAAGGUGAUAUGAACCGUUAUAACCGGCGAUUUCCGAAUGGGGAAACCCAGUGUGACUCGUCACACUAUCAUUAACUGAAUCCAUAGGUUAAUGAGGCGAACCGGGGGAACUGAAACAUCUAAGUACCCCGAGGAAAAGAAAUCAACCGAGAUUCCCCCAGUAGCGGCGAGCGAACGGGGAGGAGCCCAGAGCCUGAAUCAGCAUGUGUGUUAGUGGAAGCGUCUGGAAAGGCGCGCGAUACAGGGUGACAGCCCCGUACACAAAAGCGCAUGUGCUGUGAGCUCGAUGAGUAGGGCGGGACACGUGGUAUCCUGUCUGAAUAUGGGGGGACCAUCCUCCAAGGCUAAAUACUCCUGACUGACCGAUAGUGAACCAGUACCGUGAGGGAAAGGCGAAAAGAACCCCGGCGAGGGGAGUGAAAAAGAACCUGAAACCGU
rnacentral:rRNA from 1 species